ensembl:lncRNA
AUAAGCUGUUCGCUUGACUUCCCCUUCCAUCACAUUUUAAACCUUCUUGCAUCACCCCCCUUCCCCUGCAGGCAGGCCCCCAGUGGUUUGAAGGUGAGCUUUCAUGCUACUUGCCCUGUGUAAAAAGUCCAGACGUUUGGGCUGUGAGGGAAAAACCUAACUCAGAGUGGCUAAGAAAGACAUUUAUUGGUCAACAGCUCAGAAGUCCAGGGCUGGCUUGACUCAAUGACGUCAGCAGGACUGGGUCCGGGUCACCCGUCUCUCUGCCCCGCCUCCUUCAGUACUGGCUCCUUGCAGGGAGCCUGCCCCUAGAGGUGGCUGUGAGUUGGUUGCCGGCAGCUCAGCUUGCACCCUGUCCUCUCAGCAGCCCAGGUGACAGACGCCCUGAGAAUGGCAUGACAGGACCAGCUGCCCAUCCUGGACUGCUGCUCGUCAGAGGUCCCCAAAGGCAGAGACGCAACAACCAAGUCUUCUCCUCAACUAGAUGUGACUUCCGGUCAGCAUUUUGCCAGUGAGCAGUGUGGGGUGCAAAAAGACGGAAGACCCAACUCAAACUGGCUUGAACAACAGAGAGAGUGUGCCGGCCCAGGAGCUGGAAACAACCAGCAGGAGCUCUGAUCUUGGACAAGGCGUGAGCCCCACCACGGAGGCGCAUCUCGCACCUUCCCCCAUGUUGCAGGAUGCCAGAGGGCAGCCCUCCCUUCCUCUCCACCGCUCAGCUCCUCAGGCCUUGUCCUGUGCCAUCCAGGGAGGGCCUCUUGGGCAGAAGAGAGAGGCUUUCUGUCUACUGGGAAGCUCCGCAAAUGGCCCCUCAGGUUACAUGGGCCUGAAGUAAGGGCAGAGGAACAAGCUAAAUGGCUUAGGCCAAUGAGGGUCUGCUCCUCAAAUAGCAGGUGGGGGAACCCACCCAACCAGCAUACCUGGCCACUAAUGGCGGGCUUCCCAAAGGAAAUUUAGGGACCUAAACUUUGGGGUGGGGAAUGGAUAUUGGCGCCAUAUUUGCCUGCCUCUAAUGUUUACCUCAGCAGUCACAUUGACUCUAUCCUGGCCAGUGAUGGACAAUCCAUAUUGAUGAUCGAUUGGCUCCCACUGGGAAACCGAUCACUCCCCCUCCGCUCCUGGGCUCAUCUGAUCUGUGUCAUUGGGUACAAUGAUAAACUCUGGAAAUAAAGCAAGAGGCAACCAAAGGAAAACUCCGAAAGCUGGGGAGAGAAAGGGGAACUAGUUAGGGAUCCUAGGGCUGGAGGAACAACAUGGCAGCAGGGUGUCUCCCUGCCCCUGCAUCCAACAGAAGGUGACCUAGGCCUGGCACUUCCUGAUGCCCAACCUGGCACUAGAAGACAGCCAAUGUAGGUUCAUUCUUGCCCCUUCCUGAUGGGCCAGAGAUUCUCCUCCCUCACUGACAGACAGCUGGGGUGAUCGGGUGGUGCCAAGAAAGGGAAUUACACCGUACAAAGCAGCCCAUCCUUGGAAGAAGCGCUCUUGGGCUCCGUGGAUCUGAGAUUCCCUUCCUUCACGUAGAGGCACCAGGAGGAGCAGCCUGAGGAAUUUUCCUCAGCCCCCUCAGCUAGCAGCAGGAAGGACCAUGGGAGCCCCAGGAGACUGGAAUAGUAUGAAAAAGGCUCUGAAACGAAAUUGUCAUUGGACCAACAGCCCACUAAACUAGGCCAGGAUCUGCCUGCUAAACAUAAACAGGGUGUGGGCCUGCUUAAAAAAUUAAAAAUAUUCAAAUAGGACUCAGGGUUUCCUAACAUAAAAGGCAAGAUGUCCAGAUACACUUGAAAAAUGCACUUCAUUCUAAGAACCAGGAAAACAACUUAAGUGAGAAAAUACAAGCAGCUGACACUAACGCUGAGAUGAAUGAGGUGGUGGAAGCACCUGACAAAGACUUUAAAGCCGCCAUCAUCAGAAUGCUUCAGAAAGCAAUCACAAAUUCCCCUGAAACAAAUGAAAGAAUAGAAAAAUCUCAGCAAAGAACUAGAAUAGAAAUAAAUAGGAAAGAAAUAGAAAUAGAAGUUAUAAAAAAAGAACCAAAUGGAAGUUAUAGAAGUGAAAAUAGAAAAACAGAAAUAAAAAACUCACAAGAUGGCCUCAGUAGUAGAAUGGAUAUGGUGGAAGGCAGAAUCAGAAACUGAGGAACGCACAAUAGAAAUCACCCAGCCUGAAUAACAGGCAGAAGAUAGACUGAAAAACUUCUCUCCUGUGAGUGAUGACUUUGAUUCACAAAUUGGCAGCAUCAACCACACUGCAGAGGGGUUGUUUAAUCAACUUAAGAGGACUAAUUAAAUAGUGACAAAUAAUUGGAAAAUUAAAAAAUUUAAAUAACAUCAUUUGCAAUAGUACCAAAAAAUACAGAGAGUGCAUGGGUCACAGAGGGUUUUUAGGGCAGUGAAAACACUCUGUAUGAUACUAUAGUGGUGGAUACACGUCAUCAUACAUUUGUGCAAACCCAUAGCAUAUACAAGACUGAGAGUGAAGGCUGAUGUUAACUAUGGACUUUGGGAAAUAAUCAUGUGUCGAUAUGGGUUCAUCUCUUGUAACAAAGGUACCACUCUGGUGGGAGACACUGAUUAUGGGGGAGGCUGUGCACGUGUAAGGGGGGGGGAAAAUGGGAAAUCUCUGUACCUUCCUCUCCAGUGUGCUGUGCACCUAAAACUGCAUUAAAAAAGUCUUUAAAAAAUACAGAGAAAUAAAUGUAAUGAAAUUUAAUUAAAAACUCCAAGAUUGUUAUUGUGAAAAAUUAAAAGAAUGCUAAAUAAAUAUUUAUGGAAUAAAAGACAAUACUUUUAAAGUCAGUUCUUUCCAGAUUGAUCUGUAGAGCCAGUGUGAUUUCAAUACUGAUUCCAGCAGAAUUUUGUUUAUUUUUAUUUUUAAAAUAAACUUCAUUCCAUGAUUUAUUUGGAAAAUUAAAGGACCCAAACAAUCUUGGACAAGAAUGCUCGUCACAGUUUA